AAAGAAAGCGUAAUAGCUCACUGGUCGAGUCGGCCUGCGCGGAAGAUGUAACGGGGCUAAACCAUGCACCGAAGCUGCGGCAGCGACGCUUAUGCGUUGUUGGGUAGGGGAGCGUUCUGUAAGCCUGCGAAGGUGUGCUGUGAGGCAUGCUGGAGGUAUCAGAAGUGCGAAUGCUGACAUAAGUAACGAUAAAGCGGGUGAAAAGCCCGCUCGCCGGAAGACCAAGGGUUCCUGUCCAACGUUAAUCGGGGCAGGGUGAGUCGACCCCUAAGGCGAGGCCGAAAGGCGUAGUCGAUGGGAAACAGGUUAAUAUUCCUGUACUUGGUGUUACUGCGAAGGGGGGACGGAGAAGGCUAUGUUGGCCGGGCGACGGUUGUCCCGGUUUAAGCGUGUAGGCUGGUUUUCCAGGCAAAUCCGGAAAAUCAAGGCUGAGGCGUGAUGACGAGGCACUACGGUGCUGAAGCAACAAAUGCCCUGCUUCCAGGAAAAGCCUCUAAGCAUCAGGUAACAUCAAAUCGUACCCCAAACCGACACAGGUGGUCAGGUAGAGAAUACCAAGGCGCUUGAGAGAACUCGGGUGAAGGAACUAGGCAAAAUGGUGCCGUAACUUCGGGAGAAGGCACGCUGAUAUGUAGGUGAAGCGACUUGCUCGUGGAGCUGAAAUCAGUCGAAGAUACCAGCUGGCUGCAACUGUUUAUUAAAAACACAGCACUGUGCAAACACGAAAGUGGACGUAUACGGUGUGACGCCUGCCCGGUGCCGGAAGGUUAAUUGAUGGGGUCAGCGCAAGCGAAGCUCUUGAUCGAAGCCCCGGUAAACGGCGGCCGUAACUAUAACGGUCCUAAGGUAGCGAAAUUCCUUGUCGGGUAAGUUCCGACCUGCACGAAUGGCGUAAUGAUGGCCAGGCUGUCUCCACCCGAGACUCAGUGAAAUUGAACUCGCUGUGAAGAUGCAGUGUACCCGCGGCAAGACGGAAAGACCCCGUGAACCUUUACUAUAGCUUGACACUGAACAUUGAGCCUUGAUGUGUAGGAUAGGUGGGAGGCUUAGAAGUGUGGACGCCAGUCUGCAUGGAGCCGACCUUGAAAUACCACCCUUUAAUGUUUGAUGUUCUAACGUUGACCCGUAAUCCGGGUUGCGGACAGUGUCUGGUGGGUAGUUUGACUGGGGCGGUCUCCUCCUAAAGAGUAACGGAGGAGCACGAAGGUUGGCUAAUCCUGGUCGGACAUCAGGAGGUUAGUGCAAUGGCAUAAGCCAGCUUGACUGCGAGCGUGACGGCGCGAGCAGGUGCGAAAGCAGGUCAUAGUGAUCCGGUGGUUCUGAAUGGAAGGGCCAUCGCUCAACGGAUAAAAGGUACUCCGGGGAUAACAGGCUGAUACCGCCCAAGAGUUCAUAUCGACGGCGGUGUUUGGCACCUCGAUGUCGGCUCAUCACAUCCUGGGGCUGAAGUAGGUCCCAAGGGUAUGGCUGUUCGCCAUUUAAAGUGGUACGCGAGCUGGGUUUAGAACGUCGUGAGACAGUUCGGUCCCUAUCUGCCGUGGGCGCUGGAGAACUGAGGGGGGCUGCUCCUAGUACGAGAGGACCGGAGUGGACGCAUCACUGGUGUUCGGGUUGUCAUGCCAAUGGCACUGCCCGGUAGCUAAAUGCGGAAGAGAUAAGUGCUGAAAGCAUCUAAGCACGAAACUUGCCCCGAGAUGAGUUCUCCCUGACUCCUUGAGAGUCCUGAAGGAACGUUGAAGACGACGACGUUGAUAGGCCGGGUGUGUAAGCGCAGCGAUGCGUUGAGCUAACCGGUACUAAUGAACCGUGAGGCUUAACCUU
rnacentral:rRNA from 1 species